ACGAAUGGUGUGGCCUCCUUCCGAUUUCCUCCUCACGCGCGAGCAGCCGCCGCCCGCCGGCGCCCGGCCUCCACCUGCCUGCGUGUGUCCGCCUCCGCCCUCCAUGGCUCCACCUCGCGCGUGGCUGCCGCCGACCUCUCCAUCCAGCUCGCCCACCCCUUGCGCCGCCGUCCGACGAGUUCUCGCGCUACUCCGCCCCUCCGCCCCUGUCCCUACUGUCCUCUUCGUGAGAUUGAGUGUUACCCCGGCGUUCACCGCGAGCGCGAGCGACACCGGCCCCUGAUUGGCCCUUUCCCGUCAUACUUCCGGUAUGCCAUGCUUGCGACCUCCCGUUCUGCCCCGAGCUCGUGGCUUUCUUCUAGCGGCACAGGAGCAACGCCAAGAGCGAGCUGCAGGCGCGGUCCUCUCUUCUCCUGCCCAAGAGUUCCAUAAGAUGGCCGUGGCUGCUGCGUAUUGAGUAGGCACUGGGUGGAGAGCUACUGUUAUCUGGUCAGUCUACGCCGUGUACUGAACUCUGAUCUACUCUUUCAGUUUCUCUGAACUACUUUCGUGGAGCAUACCUGUUGAGUUUCAGCUAAGAGAUUCAAUCAGAAUGAACUUAGUUUCCUGUUUGUUCCAAGUACGUGGGCACCUGAUAAUCUAGAACGGGUAGUUAAUUGUGAAUAAUGAUAUCUGGUUCUUUUUUCUGUAUUGAUGAUGUUUCUAUUUUUAUCUGAAUGUUAACAUUCAACCAGUGUACAUGGCAAUGCAUCGGGCCAUUUGUCAGAGUUAAUAUAGAUGAUGCAACCUAUACUUACAAUGCAGCAAUGCAAGCCAUAUAAAUGCUGGUUUAUGUGAAAUUCUCAAUAAUGUGCAUGUCUCAUACUAUUGCAAAUCACCGUCAGGUAGGGCGAACUAUGCACGAUGAGCAUUGAUGGUGUCAUCUCGCGUUUUAGAGACAGAGUAGCAGCUUAUAAAUAGCGCCGUGAGGAAAGUUGCAAGCUUGGCUUGGUUAAUAUUAUGUAGCGGCAAUCUCAUCACUCUUGUAUAUAUAUAUAUGCAAGAGACUUGGAGGCUGCUGGUUUCUUUGCAUUCUGUAGUAUGGGUAAUUCUAAUUAUGAAGCUGCCUUAUGACACAUGGCGUGAGCAUCAUUUUCUGUGGUUUUCAUCCGUCAGCUAGGUAUCUCUUUGCAAUUUAUUGGAACCAUUGGCCGCACUACCUUGCAUAUUUCUCUUUGAUUUGUCCAAGUGGGGUACUACUUACGAUAUUAAUUUAUGAUUUUCUUUUCGUAAUAUUUCUAUCGAGGAGGAGUAAUACAUAAGGUGUCCUGCAAUAUUCAUUAAGUAAAAACGCAUGGGAGAAACAUGAAUGCAUUGAAGAAAUAUAUUGGGAUCAAGGAAACAUGUGCUACUUCUUGGCCAUAGCAAGGGUCGUGUAGAUGCACUCUGCUGGCCAUAACUGAAAGACAAGGUUGCAGGCUUGGUACUAGCUCAAAGCCCAUAUAAUGGAAACCCAAUUGCUUCAGAUGUCAUAUGUAUGUCAUGCUACACAAACAUAUGGAAGUUUUGGUUUCGGAAUUCCUCAAGAAGUCGAAAUGAAGAAGGAAUUCAUGUCGCAGCUGGUGUGCUGACAUCCCUCUCUCAUGUCGCACAUGUGGAGAUACCCUGCGAGGAUUUUGGUCACGAUGCAACUUUUAGCCACACUGGUAGCAUGGUCGCAUUGCUUGGCGGCAAUGUACUGGCGAGAAGUGUGACGAGGAAGGAUGCGGAAGGUUUUCCAUGAAACAAGGGUGGGGGGCAAGGGUAAAGAGCCCAUGAAGACAAUGAUGAGGAGGAGGGUGAUGUGAACCUUAUGAAAGAAACCCCGACAAAGAAUAAGAAGAAAAGCAAGCUGAAAAGAGGAGGAGGACAACAACUCGUCUGCCUUUUUGGUGUCUCGAUACCAAAGGGGGAGAGGUAUUUCUGUUAGGUUCCCCGGGAAUUCGCAUGGGUUGAGUACCAUUUGCUCGUGACUUCCUUUUUUCUCGUCUCCGCAUUGGUACCCAUUUCUAGUUGAUUUUCCUUGAACUUUGUUUGGUUGAGAAAUUCGUUUUUAUUCGUUGAACUAUGGUUUGUAAUAGACUGAAGUGGUGGUGGUGGUGAACUAUUACUUCGGUAUCCAUGUGACGGUAUCAUAUCUACCCCCAAACUCUUGAAACUUGAUAUACGUCUAGAGUUGUGCAAGUAUUGAUUGAAUUUCUAUAUCCUUUAUAUUGCACAUGUUGGUUUGUAAAAUAUAGGGCGAGUUCUUGUUCUAGGAUGGUGUGUACUUGUAUUUAAAUGGUGUUAUAGAAUUAUUUGACCAUGUGCUAAGUGCGUAGGUAAUUUAUUUGAGCACAAUAUGGUUGACGACCCACCAAAAGUAUGGAG